AUUGAACGCUGGCGGCAGGCCUAACACAUGCAAGUCGAACGAGUGGCGGACGGGUGAGUAAUGUCUGGGCAACUGCCCGAUGGAGAGGGCUCACUACUGGAAACGGUAGCUACUACAGCAUAUCAUCGGCUGUGCCCAGAUGGGUUUAGCUAGUAGGUGGGGUAACGGCUCACCUAGGCGACUAUCCCUAGCUGGUCUGAGAGGAUGACCAGCCACACUGGAACGGAGACACGGGCCAGACUCCUACGGGAGGCAGCAGUGGGGAAUAUUGCACAAUGGGCGCAAGACUGAUGCAGCCAUGCCGAGUGUAUGAAGAAGGCCUUCGGGUUGUAAAGUACUUUCAGCGAGGAGGCGUUACUCGCAGAAGAAGCACCGGCUAACUCCGUGCCAGCAGCCGCGGUAAUAC
rnacentral:rRNA from 1 species